GGAGUCGGCCGGACAGUCGCUGCGACCUUGUGUCGUGGAGGAAAGUCCGGGCUCCAUAGGGCAGGGUGCCAGGUAACGCCUGGGCGGCGCGAGCCGACGGAAAGUGCCACAGAAAACAUACCGCCGAUGGCUCGGACCCGUUCCGGGAUCAGGUAAGGGUGAAAAGGUGCGGUAAGAGCGCACCGCGCGGGUGGCAACACUUCGCGGCACGGUAAACCCCACCCGGAGCAAGGCCAAAUAGGGGUGCAUUGGUGUGGCCCGCACUGCACCCGGGUAGGCUGCUCGAGGCGCGCGGUGACGCGCGUCCCAGAUGAAUGACUGUCCCAGACAGAACCCGGCUUACAGGCCGACUCCCCAU
rnacentral:RNase_P_RNA from 22 species